rnacentral:miRNA from 1 species
CUUCGGCCCCACCCUUCCU